rnacentral:rRNA from 1 species
CGAAGAUACAAAGGGCGCGAGGCGGAUGCCUUGGCGCGGGAAGUCGACGAAGGGCGCGGCAAGCUGCGAUAAGCCGCGGGGAGGCGCAAACGGCCUUUGAUCCGCGGAUUCCCGAAUGGGGGAACCCAGCAGGGGCAAUGCCCUGCUACCGGCCGCCGAACGCAUAGGCGGCCAGGAGGCAACCGGGGGAACUGAAACAUCUAAGUACCCCGAGGAAGAGAAAUCAACCGAGAUCCCGGGAGUAGCGGCGAGCGAAACCGGGCCAGCCCAAACCGGCGCGCGUGCAAGCGUGCGGGCGUUUCCGCGCCGGUGUUGUUGGGCGGGGCAACCGAGGGCCGCAUCCCUCGGCCGCUGUUACAAACCAGCCAUCUAGGGGAACGGCCUGGGAAGGCCGGCGGAACAGGGUGAGAGCCCCGUACCCGGAAGGUCGCUGGCAGCGGGUCUCCGGCCCAGAGUAGCGCGGGGCACGUGAAACCCCGCGCGAAGCAGGGGGGACCACCCUCCAAGGCUGAACACUCUCCCGCGACCGAUAGCGAACCAGUACCGUGAGGGAAAGGUGAAAAGCACCCCGAGAGGGGAGUGAAACAGCGCCUGAAACCGCGCGCCCACGAGCAGUCGGAGCACCUAGCACGGUGUGACGGCGUGCCUUUUGUAGAAUGAGCCAGCGAGUCACGAUGCGCGGCGAGGUUAAGCUUUUAAGCGAGCCGCAGCGAAAGCGAGUCUUUAAGACGGCGACAUAGUCGCGCGUCGUGGACGCGAAGCCGGGUGAGCUACCCAUGGGCAGGCUGAAGCGGGGGUAAGACCCCGUGGAGGGCCGAACCCACUUCGGUUGAAAACGGAGGGGAUGACCCGUGGGUAGGGGUGAAAGGCCAAUCAAACCCGGAGAUAUCUCGUUCUCCCCGAAAUAGCUUUAGGGCUAGCCCCGGCCGUUUUCCCGCGGCGGUAGAGCACUGGACGGAGGAGGGGGCCUCACCGCCUACCGAUGCCGACCAAACUCCGAAUGCCGCGAGACCAAAGGCCGGGAGUCAGAGCAUGUGGGCUAAGCUGUGUGCUCGAGAGGGAAACAGCCCAGACCGCCCGCUAAGGCCCCCAAGUCAUCGCUGAGUGGCAAAGGAUGUGCGUCCGCCCAGACAACCAGGAUGUUGGCUUAGAAGCAGCCAUGCAUUCAAAGAGUGCGUAACAGCUCACUGGUCGAGUGGACAUGCGCCGACAAUUCACGGGGCUAAGCGAUGCGCCGAAGCGGCGGAAUGUAUUUAACAUUGGUAGGGGAGCUUCCCCUGCGCGGCGAAGCCGGAGGGCGACCGACGGUGGAGCGCAGGGGAGUGAGGAUGCUGGCAUGAGUAACGAGAGCGGCGCGGGAAACGCCGCCGCCGUAAGCCCAAGGUUUCCUGGGCAAGGCUAAUCCUCCCAGGGUCAGUCGGGAGCUAAGGCGAGGCCGGAAGGCGUAGCCGAUGCGCAACAGGCGGACAUUCCUGUACCGCCUCGGGACCGCUAUGACCGAAGGGGCGACGGAGAAGGGUACGCAGGCGGGGUUCUGGACGCCCCCGUGAAAGCGCGUAGGCCGCAGGGCAGGCAAAUCCGCCCUGCGCACAAGGCCGAGACGCGAGACGAAGCCGCAUGGCGAAGCUGCGGAGCCCACGCUCCCUGGAAAAACCCCUAGGCAGGGCCCGAGGCGCCCGUACCAAAACCGACACAGGUGGGCGGGUAGAGCAUACCGAGGCGAUCGGGGGAACCAUGGUCAAGGAACUCGGCAUAAUCGCUCCGUAACUUCGGGAGAAGGAGUGCCGCUGCAGGUGGAGGGACCAGCUCCCCGAGCCCGCGGCGGCCGCAGCGAAACGGCCCAAGCGACUGUUUACCAAAAACACAGGACUCUGCCAACCCGCGAGGGGAAGUAUAGGGUCUGACGCCUGCCCGGUGCCGGAAGGUUACGCGGAUGCGUUAGCACUCGUGCGAAGCGCUGAAGCCAAGCCCCGGUAAACGGCGGCCGUAACUAUAACGGUCCUAAGGUAGCGAAAUUCCUUGUCGGGUAAGUUCCGACCUGCACGAACGGCGUAACGACUUGGGCGCUGUCUCGACCAUGGACCCGGUGAAAUUGCACUAUUCGUGAAGAUGCGAAUUACCUGCGGAAGGACGGAAAGACCCCGUGAACCUUCACUGCAGCUUGGCAUUGGCCGUUGGCUCGGCGCGUAGAGGAUAGGCAGGAGGCUAUGAAACCGGGGCGCCAGCCCCGGCGGAGCCGCCCUUGGAAUACUGCCCCCUCCGUUCCGGCGGCCUAACGCGGCGCCUUAUAUCACGGCCUGUCCCUUAUACACAUUUGCG